GACGAGCCCAUUUCUCCUGUGCUGCGGGGAUCUGCGUGGGUCCGUAUGAACAGAGGCAUGUCUGAGCGCUCGCAGUGCCCCUCCCCUCUCGCUUCUGCCACACGCAACAUGCAUACCCAGCUUCCUAUAAAAAUCUUUUCAAAGCGAACACAGUGUACCAUUUAAGCGCAGGCUGGCCGAGCCCACAGCUGUCCCCCUGCACACACGCCCUACCCCCGAACAGCUGCAGCUUCCCCUCAGAUCUGUAGCUGGACUCGCUGGCAGCUGAGGAUUUUUGCACAGCCACAGAUUCAAGGUGUCGGAAACAUUCUUCAGAGAUUUUGGUUCACUUUAACAACACAGCAUCUGCAGAUUUGCCUACACCUGAAUCUCCCAUUCCACAAAAUCCCAAAGGUGCUCUUUUAAUUUUUAAAACCCUUCUAUGAGAACUCGAGAGAUGGUUGUUUGAAAAUCCCAGCAGAUAAGCAAUUUCUAAAAUACCAACAACCAUUUCAAGUUCAGAGUCACUCAUGUUCACCACUUUAAAUCAGUUUUUACGUCUACAAACCAUCAUCACCACGUCUAGAUGCCAAAAGGCAUACAGUUGCUGAAAAGGGAUUGGCUGCUUUGUGCUAACGAUUGCAAUAAAGUGGGUGUUGGAGUAUUAGGUGAAGGUAGCUGUAAGACAUGCUGGGUGUUGCAUUUCUUAAACUCUCUGUCACGGAGCUCCAUUAACAUGCUUGCACUUUCAUUAGUGCUGGUGCGGUUUAUUCACAAAAUGUUUGUAGUGUUUGGGUAAGGUGUGAUUUGAGAUAGCUCAUACAGUUUCAUGCAGAGCUUCUCGCUGUUAGAAAGUGAGCUGAUGUUUUGUGUUAGCUGCAUGACGUCAGAUCCACAGGUUGCAGAAACAUUUUCGUGCCUUCUGGACCUCAUGCAGGGAGCUCAGGUUGCAUGAUAUUAAGUGCAGUUUUGACUCUGCAGAACUUUGUGAAAUGUAGUUUUGUAAUCAACUACAUGAUUUACAAAAAAAGACCCCACAACAUUAUUGGUAAAUUUUAAGAAGCUUAAGUAGUUAUUCAGCAUUUUUUACCCACUUGUGGGGUCAACUAGAUUUCUGACCCAAACUGAGAUUAAAUGUGCACAUCAUGCUGGUUAUGUAACUCAAUACGCUGAAAUCUCAGCCCAAAUAAUUCUUCUCUUUAUUUUGCUGUUUAUUUCCCUUAUUCUGCCCAAGUGAGCACAUUAUAUCUGACAUUUUUUUUGUUUUUGGAAGGAGGCAGUAGGCAUUUGGGAAGCGACCCACUGAGAGUAAUGAAUUUGGACACCGGAGUGUAUGUGUUGCUGAAGUGGGCGUGUGUCGCAGGCGAGCCUGAAGAUCUGGUUGGGUGAGAGCUGAGCUGUAUAAAAAGGCGGAGCGGAGCGCAGCGCAGACGCUCUCUCUCUGGUUCAGGUUCUUCUCUGUUUGGCCUCUGUUAGGAGUUUCUUCUGUCAUUUUUUCCCCCGUUUGUGGAAGCAGAAGAUCCCAUUGUUGGGACUGGAGUGGUCCUUUCUUCCUUUUUGCAGACGGUCUUGAACCACCCCGGGGGUUCACUGAUCCAUCAUUUUAGGAAACAUGAUCAUCAGACUGGGCAGGCUUACACCUGGAUACUUCCGCCUUCUCCAGAGGCAGGUCGCUGGUGAGGUCCAGACGCAGCCGCAUGACCGCACCGUCAACCAGAUCGCCAUGAUGCUGGCCAUCAUGGGUCUGAGUCUGUCCUACUACAGUGCCAAACAGAUGACAGAGAAGGUCCAAGUCCGGCCUGCAGCCUGAAGAGGCUCUGUCGCUCCAGAAUCUGGAGAUGACAGAUGAGCCAAUGAGAACCAGAGGGAGAAACGGAGGUAAAGGGAGGAAGAAAGGCACAGCGGUGUGUGUCGGGACAGCACUUUUCUCACCUUAGUCGUCGAUCACGCUCUUCCACUGACUUCCUGGGAUCCUUCACACAUCACCAGCAGAACUUUUCAGGGUCAAAUAAAAAAAAAAAUCCAAUUUUCUGGUGCCAGGACCUUCAA